rnacentral:rRNA from 1 species
UACGUAGGGUCCGAGCGUUGUCCGGAGUUACUGGGCGUAAAGCGCGCGCAGGCGGCGGUGUAAGCAUGGCGUGAAAGCCCCUGGCUUAACCAGGGAGGGUCGUCGUGGACUGCACCGCUUGAGGGCGGUAGGGGCUGGUGGAAUGCCUGGUGUAGUGGUGAAAUGCGUAGAGAUCAGGCGGAACACCCGUGGCGAAGGCGGCCAGCUGGGCCGUCCCUGACGCUGAGGCGCGAAGGCGUGGGGAGCGAACGGGAUUAGAAACCCCAGUAGUCC